AGUCCCAAGCUGGAGAGGGGUGUGUGGCCACUCCUAGAAGCAGCUGAGAGAUGGAAGGAAGGCGUGGAUGUCUUCCACCAGGGCAAGCACCUGAAGAUGAGAUGGGAGUCACAGGCUCCUUGAAGUGCCCUGAGCUAAGCUGUGGAGAACAGCCAUGGGAUAGCAAGCAAGCAGGUUUUCCCUGUAGUCUCCUGAAGUAUUAGUAUUUGAUAGCUCUGGAUCUACCUCAAUUUCGAAAUAUAAAAGGAAGGUUUCGGGGAGCUAGGGACAGGAGAGAGGUGCGGGUUUGCCCUUCCUCCUCAGUUCUAGCUGCCGAGACCAGAAUGGGAACCAAAAGAAACAAAUCAAAGUUGGACAUAUCAAAGCUUCCGCACUAUGCCCUCAGAGGACCAAGCUGCCCCACCCAUUCUUAAGCUUCUACUCCAAUUAGUUUCAAACCCAGAACAAUGGAUGUGAAAUCACCGUCCAUCCACCUGACUCUGUAUCCUGAAGGCCAUGCAGAAGAAGGCCAUUCUCCAACACACACACUGUUUAAGGAAGUAGAAAUGGGCUCCUUAGCCCAAGAAAGAAUUUAACUCAAUAAGCCACACAUGAAGGUUCUUCCUCUAUGACUACCUCAGUUGUGGAUAGCCUAAGACUCUGCUCUGUCCAGAGAAGGAUGCUGCCUCCAGCGUAAGCUUUGUUUAGCAUCAACAGAUAUUUUCUGUGGCUCCCAAAGAGCACAAAGAGAGAUCUAGUGACUCUUUUCCAUGGUUCACCAGAAGCAAACAGAAUGAA